rnacentral:rRNA from 1 species
AACGCCGCGUGUGUGAUGAAGGUCUUCGGAUUGUAAAGCACUUUCGACCGGGACGAAACCCUCAAGCCCAACACGCUUGAGUCUGACGGUACCGGGAGAAGAAGCACCGGCUAACUCUGUGCCAGCAGCCGCGGUAAUACAGAGGGUGCAAGCGUUGUUCGGAAUUAUUGGGCGUAAAGCGCGUGUAGGCGGCAUGGCAAGUCGGGUGUGAAAGCCCUCAGCUCAACUGAGGAAGUGCGCCCGAAACUGCCGUGCUUGAGUGCCGGAGAGGGUGGCGGAAUUCCCCAAGUAGAGGUGAAAUUCGUAGAUAUGGGGGAGGAACACCGGUGGCGAAGGCGGCCACCUGGACGGUAACUGACGCUGAGACGCGAAAGCGUGGGGAGCAAACAGGAUUAGAUACCCUGGUAGUCCACGCCGUAAACGAUGAGAACUAGCUGUCAUGGGAGUUGACCCCCGUGGUGGCGCAGCUAACGCAUUAAGUUCUCCGCCUGGGAAGUACGGUCGCAAGACUA